CAAAGUGACAGGUGGUGCAUGGUUGUCGUCAGCUCGUGUCGUGAGAUGUUGGGUUAAGUCCCGCAACGAGCGCAACCCUUAAGCUUAGUUGCCAUCAUUAAGUUGGGCACUCUAAGUUGACUGCCGGUGACAAACCGGAGGAAGGUGGGGAUGACGUCAAAUCAUCAUGCCCCUUAUGAUUUGGGCUACACACGUGCUACAAUGGACAAUACAAAGGGCAGCGAAACCGCGAGGUCAAGCAAAUCCCAUAAAGUUGUUCUCAGUUCGGAUUGUAGUCUGCAACUCGACUACAUGAAGCUGGAAUCGCUAGUAAUCGUAGAUCAGCAUGCUACGGUGAAUACGUUCCCGGGUCUUGUACACACCGCCCGUCACACCACGAGAGUUUGUAACACCCGAAGCCGGUGGAGUAACCUUUUAGGAGCUAGCCGUCGAAGGUGGGACAAAUGAUUG
rnacentral:rRNA from 1 species